ensembl:lncRNA
GAAAGAAAAUUCAAUGCUUGGGAAUGGAACGGGGAGAUGGGAGCAUCAUCCCUGCGUCCACCCGAGCGCCGUGGGGCGGCCGCCCGCGGGCACAGCGCUGCCCGCCCCGGCCCCAAAGUUGGGACCGACCCCGCGGCCAAUGGAGCGAGCGGUGGGGAUGGACGGUGCGACCGAAAGCAACGAGGGGUCUCUUUAAAAUUCCCAUCCACUUCAGAUGUCUAAAGUAAGAUUGUGAUGAUUUUGUCACGGUUUGGUAAAUUUACCCCUUUAAGAGGCUUUCAUAAAUCCCAGAACACACCUUCAGCCAGAUUUGAAUAUAGAUUUAGGUUUUAAAACCCAGAAGCUGGGAACACCGCUUUAUCAAAGAGAAUUUCCCUUUAGCUUAGCGAUGUGUCGGAAUGGCUCUCGCAAAGAUCGGAUCGGAGAGGGGGAAAAAUAGGGGGAAGCCUUCAUCCCGGAGCGAUCCUACACGCACUUUGCAGCCGCAUUCCGCCUUCAGCCUCAGGAAAAGUUGCCCCCAAACAAGCAAAAAAAAAAAAAAGAAAAAAAAAAGUGGCAGCCGUAGGAACUGUUUUUUUUUUUUAAUUACUAUUUUAUUUUUAAUUAUUUUUUAAGGAAGGGAAAAAGAAAAAAAAACCAACAAAAACAACCAAACAAAACAGCCAAUGCGACCAAACCCCUUUCCGACCUCCUGCGCUCCGUUCGGAUAGCAGCUCCGGGCAGGUAUACAGAGCCGCACUAACUCGGGCUCAACGGGGAGCGACUUUUGUGCUCAGAGAACCCCCAGAUCAGCUCCCGGGAUGGAAAGGAACUGUAACUUCUGCUGCUCAGGUCUGUGGGAGGCUGGUCCCUCUUUGAACAUCUGGAGUGGUGUGUGGCUGCAUUCAUUGGAAGAGGAACCCCACGUGGAAAACCAGGGCCAGAGCUAAAGGCAGGAUUCAACUCCUCUUCACCCUUGAUGUGCUGGCCCAGCUCCAAGGAGAUGCUAAGGUAGCAGCUCAUACAACUCUGCUGGCUUUGGAAGGGAGCUUGGGAGUCCCCAGAUCCUUCUUGUUCGUGUAUUGGCUCCAGUCUCAUCACUUACAUGGAGAUUUGCUUGCAGGGAAAUCAUAACCUCAAGUCAUGAUGUUCCUGGGACAUCCCAAAGGUCAGCCUGAUGGAGAGAAGUCAAAGGCAGUGGGUGGAAGAAGGGUUAAUGGGAGACAUAAGAAAUCUAACUGAGAGCUCUUGAACCACAACUCCUCCUCAUGUCCAGAAGAUCUCCUGGGACCCUCUCUCCACUUGCUCAUCCAGUGACUGGUGGCCUCCAAGAGCCAGCAGAUCCCAAGAGAGAUUAAGUAGAGCAUGUUGAUGUCAUGAGCCUUGUUCUGCCUCAAGUUGAUGAUAUAGCUCAGCUGCUGGUUGUGUUCUACAUGUGUGUGUAAUAUCUGUAUGUCCAGUUAGAGGCAUGGGCUAUGCUCCUCACAGUUAACUGCAAACCAAGGCUAUUGCUUUUUGUGAAGGAAAAACUUUUAUCUUCUCAUAGCUUCAAGUGUUCCCCAUUGAUAGGCAUCUCUUUGCCUGUAGAAGUACAUCCUAACACACCUUUCUAAGGUGAAAUACUCCCCUGAUUUCCUUUGUCCACUGUCGACCCCUUCCAAGGACAGAAAGAAAACCAACAAACCCUCUUUAUUUUCCUCCCCCCUUGCACAUUUUCAAUUAAAAUAGAUUUGGGCAAGCUACACUGAAUGUGCCACAAAUCUUCUUGCAUGGUUAAAGUUGAUUAAUUGGGGUCAGAAGUGAAAAUUAAAUAACGGCAAUAGCUAACAAAAUACAAAUAGCUUCUCCCAGGCCUUGCAAAUGAUGGAGCACGAGCUGAGAUGCCUCAGCUGGUUCUGCCUGGAGGAGGACCUGCCUCCUUCACCUUGGGUUAAACAGUGAAGAGCAAAUCUGGGUGUUGGGGGGAGGGCUUGGCCUCAAAGUAAUAUGUAUAUAAUCCUCAAGAUAAUCAAUUUCUUACAGAUGCUUUGUAAACUUUCGUGUUCAAGAACGCAAGCCAUAGUACUUUCUAAAUCCCUAGGGGUUGUACUUGAUACCCAUUUGUUAUUUCCUAAUGCUAUUCAGUCUUUUUUUUCUCCCUGUUUUUUUUCCUGAAGCUUGCAGCAAUAAGCCUGGGACUUAGUUGACAGCCACCACCGCUUUUGCCAUUCUGCAGUGAACUUUGUGCGCGUUUCCAUAUUCCUUUUCUUACACUCCUGAUAAAAGCAUUAUCAGGGAAAUUCAAAAGCAAGCAGAAAACUGGCAUAGCUAAUUUAGGCUAAUUAGUAUGGCAGAAGCUGAGUCUUGUACUUCAGAGGUUCCCAUGCCCUCCCAUGUCUCCACCUGAUCGCCUUGUCCAGCAGCAAACCCAGGAGGCAGCUCCAAUUAUAUCAUAACCUCUUCAAACACCAAGCCACUCAAGCUAAUUUUAUCCUAUUAAACAGACUGAAGGAUUCAGAAGAAAGGUUCUCCCCCAAAAGCUUCAAUUACCAGUGUCCCUGAUUACCAUCUUUACAAUCCUAUAUGCUACAGUUAAAUACUUUUUUGCUUAGUGUUGCUUUCUUGAUUUAGAUGAAAAGCAAGUAUUAAGAGCAUGUCUUUUCAACUCAAGCAAGUGACAUUCAUAAUAAAAAAAAAAAAAAGGAACCUCUGUUGUUAUUAGCGGGUUUAAUCAAAGUCAAGUUUAGAACCGUUCAAAGACAACGUAAUUGGGGAAAUGUAAACAUCCCCUCACAUCUGGUGGCCUUUAAAGCAGCCAAAGGUAACUGCCAAUAACAGCAGCAUUGGCCAAAACGAUUAGGUGUAGAAGAAAAAUAAAAUAAAGAAAACAGCAGGAUCCCCCCCCCCAAAGCAAGGAAAUGUCAAAUGGUGCUUUGCGUAAAUCUCAUAGCACUAAUCAGCAGUAAAAUAGGUUCCAAGGUACUGAGCUGAUCCACCCUUCCUUGCAGCAGCACACAGUGAAUGUUGGCCUUGAGGAGGCAGUGAUGCCCGACCAAAAGCACUCACCUAUGUCAUAGAGAUGCCUGGGCCUAAGGCAGCUCCAACCCUUCCUCCCUCUGCUCCAGGCUUGGCAGUGACCCAUCCAGUACUCCUUGCUGGCCAUGCCCAUGGGGACAGGGAGCUGGUUUUUUGGCCAUCACCUCCUAUGAGGGGGCUGCAGUCUUGGCUGAUGACUCCACUCCAAGUGCUGCUAUAAUUCAAAUAAUAGUUGUAGGAUCCAGAGAGAAAGAAAAGAUGUUUGCCUGAGCAUCAAACUAACCCUCUCCUGAGGACUGAACCUGAGACAAGUUCAGGUGGCAGCAUUUAUAUCGAAACAACAAGAGGAAAUGGAUCACCUGGGAAACCCAGUAGCAUGAGUCAUAGCAAAAGCACAUCUCUCUCUAUUUCUUUAAAAAAAAAAAAAAAAAAAAAACACCAACAAACUUGUUCUUUCCAUCCCCAAAUGGACUAAUUUUGCUUGUUCCUCUUCUCCCACAGACAGCAGUAGGUUUAAGCACACUCAUAGCUGUUAAUAUUCAUGCUUUCUUUCGGCAUCGCCCCAUCCUGUGAGCUCCCAGUCCUUCCCCAGCUGGAGGUAUUUGGGGGCUGGAUUUCAUUUCGGAUCUGCUCAACCUUGCAGCUGAAAAUGAGCAUUUUUUCUUUCUCUCGAGAAACAAACAAACAAACAAACAAUUUCUGUCAUUUAACAGAAGCAGAAUGGGUUUCACCCAAUUGCCCGCUCUCUGGGCGAUAUGGAAAUGCUAUUGUUUGGGGACAAUGAUUCUCAUGUAAAUGAAACAACAGCUAAACAAGAAUGCUCCCUAUCUCUGUUUGGGCCAAUUUUCUUAAUGUUUCAGCACAGCUUAAUCUGUUGGCAGAAGUGUUUAGGCCCAUUAACAGCUAAAGUCACAGAGUCCACAACUCACCCCGCUGACAGUAAACAAGGAAUUUGAGGAAUGGCCUUUAAACAAUGGCUAAGCCACAAACCAUUUUGCCUUCAAAUGCUGUGAAAGGCAUAUAGGCUGAUGAUUUUCUUCCUUGGGUUACAGCAGUUUGAAAGCCCGGCUUCCCUCCCUAAGUCCCCAGCACCCUCCAGGCUUGGGUUACAGCUGUUUUAUUUGCCUUUCCAGCCCCACAGCUGUGGGAUUGGUUAUGCAGGUGUGUUCCCGACAAAUGAGUCAUUCCAGGGCUUCAUAUUAUUUAUUUGUAUUGACCGGCACUGCCCAAACACAGGGCAAGGAGAUGCUCUGUGCCCUGCAGGGCAGGUUUCUGGAUUUAAUUUUGCUCGGGGAACACUGCAUGUAGGUUCUUCUCUAACAGUGCUAUGGGUAAACAGAGAAAAUUGGACCUCAGGGAGAGAAAUAAAUGGUAACUGCCAAAAAAAAAAAAAAAAAAAGUGAAGUGCUGAAUACAACCUGUGAGGCUUGUAUCUUGCUUGCAUGGUUAUGAUGGAGAGGGGAUGAUAUGGGUGCUCCCCCAUGUUUCCUGCUUAGGAGUUUGGUGGGUUUGGUCCCUUUGUACCCCGCUGCCUGAAUGGCAUCCGAUAUACCCCCCUUCUCACGUGGCAGAUGACCACAAGCCAGAAGAGGAUGCAGAUUCCUUUUUAUAUGGAGUUCUUUGGAAAACACAACUCUGAAAAUAAAGCCAAUGCCGUGAUGUCAGUCCCAUUUGUCUUCCAUGUGCUUUUCCCAGGCUGAGCUUUUUCUAGCUGAGCUAGAGGCUGCACCUAGCAGAGACGUUAAGAGCAAUGUGUUACAGACAUUGCUGUUGUGCCCUCACCAUCUCCCACACAAGCUGCUCUUGCCUGCUCUCUAGCCACAAGGCAGUGGUGAAACCAGAAGCAAAAUCUUCUGUCUGAGGCUCAAACCAAGGUCUUUUACGCCUGACCCAAAGACCAUCCAAAGCCACACAAUGGGCAAGCCAGUGCUACUCCCAGUGGCACAUUCCCAGAUAAACU